UACGGAGGGUGCGAGCGUUGUCCGGAAUCACUGGGCGUAAAGGGCGCGUAGGCGGCGCGGAUAGUCGGCGGUGAAAGCCCGGAGCUCAACUCCGGGUCGGCCGUCGAUACUUCCGGGCUUGAGCACUGUAGAGGCAGAUGGAAUUCCGGGUGUAGCGGUGGAAUGCGUAGAGAUCCGGAAGAACACCGGUGGCGAAGGCGGUCUGCUGGGCAGUUGCU
rnacentral:rRNA from 1 species